rnacentral:rRNA from 1 species
UACGUAGGGGGCAAGCGUUGUCCGGAAUCAUUGGGCGUAAAGAGCGUGUAGGCGGCCCGAUAAGUCCGCUGUGAAAGUCCAGGGCUCAACCCUGGGAUGCCGGUGGAUACUGUCGGGCUCGAGUCCGGAAGAGGAGUGUGGAAUUCCUGGUGUAGCGGUGAAUGCGCAGAUAUCAGGAGGAACACCAAUGGCGAAGGCAGCACUCUGGGACGUGACUGACGCUGAGACGCGAAAGCGUGGGGAGCAAACAGG